rnacentral:snRNA from 1 species
GGCUUUGCGCAGUGGCUGUGUCGCGGCCAGUGAGGUUUAUCUGAGGCACAAUUAUUGCUCUUUGGAAACUCUUCCCAGUGCCUUCCAAGACGGCUUGAAAGAUGUAUUUAUGUAUUUAUUGCAUACAAAUGUAU